rnacentral:lncRNA from 1 species
UCCAAUCGACCCUCGGCGAGUAGAGUAAAAAUGGGAAAGCUGCAUUAAGAAACAGAGAUAAAAUUAGAAACACAAGCAAGACAAAAUCAAAUAAUAAAGUAUAGGUACUCCCACAAAAGUAACGUAAAUAGUUAUGAAAACAUAAGCAACAUAAAUACAGUCGCAUGCAGUAAUAUCAAGCAGGAUCUACCAUACUACAAUACUAAUCACCUAUGAGCCCCUAGCUUACAAUCUUGAUUCUAGACUCCCCUACGUGUCAACAUAUUAUUCGUUCAUUUCCAUGUAAGUAGCCAUUGGACCUUACGCACAAUGUCUAAUAUACAGAGGUAUUUAAAAC